rnacentral:rRNA from 1 species
GAGUUUGAUCCUGGCUCAGAAUGAACGGUUGGCGGCGUGGAUUAGGCAUGCAAGUCGAGCGAGAACCCGCAAGGGGGACAGCGGCGAACGGGGUAGGACAAUCUAGGUAACGUACCCUCGGGGCGAGGACAGCCACGGGAAACUGUGGGUAAUACUCGAUAAACUUCCCAAUCAUUAUCGGAGGGGAAGCAAUGGGUGUGAUUCCACCUGAGGAGCGGCUUAGACAGUAUCAGCUUGUUGGUGAGGUAACGGCUCACCAAGGCUACGACGCUUAGGGGGUGUGAGAGCAUGGCCCCCACCACUGGCACUGAGACACUGGCCAGACACCUACGGGUGGCUGCAGUCGAGAAUCUUCGGCAAUGGACGCAAGUCUGACCGAGCGACGCCGCGUGCGGGAUGAAGGUCUUCGGAUUGUAAACCGCUGUCAGAGGGGAUGAAGUGUACGGGGGUACUCCCCUGUACUUGACAGAGCCUCAGAGGAAGCACGGGCUAAGUUCGUG